GACGAACGCUGGCGGCGUGCCUAAUACAUGCAAGUCGAGCGCAGGAAACUGACGGAACUCUUCGGAGGGAAGGCAGCGGAAUGAGCGGCGGACGGGUGAGUAACACGUAAGGAACCUGCCUCAAGGAUUGGGAUACCUCCGAGAAAUCGGAGCUAAUACCGGAUAUCUCAUCCGACCGCAUGGUCCGUUGCGGAAAGGCGCUCCGGCGUCACCUUGAGAUGGCCUUGCGGUACAUUAGCUAGUUGGUGGGGUAACGGCCCACCAAGGCGACGAUGCAUAGCCGACCUGAGAGGGUGAUCGGCCACACUGGGACUGAGACACGGCCCAGACUCCUACGGGAGGCAGCAGUAGGGAAUCUUCCACAAUGGACGAAAGUCUGAUGGAGCAACGCCGCGUGAGUGAUGAAGGUUUUCGGAUCGUAAAACUCUGUUGUAAGGGAAGAACACGUACGAGAGGAAAUGCUCGUACCUUGACGGUACCUUACGAGAAAGCCACGGCUAACUACGUGCCAGCCGCCGCGGUAAAAC
rnacentral:rRNA from 1 species